GCUGGGUGUGGUGGUGUGUGCCUGUAGUCUCAGCUACUCAGGAGGCUGAGGUGGGAGGAUCACUUGAGCCUGGAAGGUCAGGGAUGCAGUGAGCCAAGAUGGCACCACUGCACUCCAGCCUGGGCCACAGAGUGAGACCCUGUCUCUU
ensembl:misc_RNA Metazoa_SRP Metazoan signal recognition particle RNA